UACGAUUUAGAACGCUUAGCAGGUCGCGUUGCUUUCGGUAAUGUCAAUGCAAGAGAUCUUGUGCAACUAAAAAAAUCGUUAC
rnacentral:tRNA from 1 species